GAGUUUGAUCCUGGCUCAGGACGAACGCUGGCGGCGUGCCUAACACAUGCAAGUCGAACGGAGAACUCAAAAAGCUUGCUUUGAGAGUUCUUAGUGGCGGACGGGUGAGUAACGCGUGGGCAACCUCCCCCUUAAACCGGGACAACCCUUGGAAACGAGGGCUAAUACCGGAUACACUUUUCUGAGGACAUCCUCGGGAAAGGAAGGCGGCCUCUGAAGAUGCUGCUGAUAAGGGAUGGACCCG
rnacentral:rRNA from 1 species